rnacentral:rRNA from 1 species
GACGAACGCUGGCGGUGUGCUUAACACAUGCAAGUCGAACGGUAAGGCCCUUUCGGGGGUACACGAGUGGCGAACGGGUGAGUAACACGUGAGUAACCUGCCCUCAUCUCUGGGAUAACAGUCGGAAACGGUUGCUAAUACUGGAUAUGAGCUUGCAAGGCAUCUUGUGGGUUGGAAAGAUUUUUUUGGUUGGGGAUGGACUCGCGGCCUAUCAGCUUGUUGGUGAGGUAGUGGCUCACCAAGGCUUCGACGGGUAGCCGGCCUGAGAGGGCGACCGGCCACAUUGGGACUGAGAUACGGCCCAAACUCCGACGGGAGGCAGCAGUGGGGAAUAUUGCACAAUGGACGGAAGUCUGAUGCAGCAACGCCGCGUGCGGGAUGACGGCCUUCGGGUUGUAAACCGCUUUCAAUUGUGACGAAGCUUUUUUGUGACGGUAGCAGUAGAAGAAGCACCGGCUAACUACGUG